UUUCAGAUGUUGUGAUGAAGAUUGUUGAAAGGGAUUAUCAGCAUAGAACCAAUCCAUAUGAAUGUGCAAGUCAGGAAUGUGGAGCUAAUGCAUGCUGCUAAGGAUGGAAAAGUCUUGUGUUUAUUGGUUGUGCCUGAGACACCAGUCACAGUUGUAUCUUAUUUCCAUUUAAGGGAGUCUAUAUACAUUUGAGGUGAGCGGCAGAUUUAAUUUUGAAGAUGGGUGACUUUCAGAUGUUGUGAUGAAGAUUGUUGAAAGGGAUUAUCAGCAUAGAACCAAUCCAUAUGAAUGUGCAAGUCAGGACUUGUACAACACCUGAGUACCUAGAUGACUGUUGAACUAAUUGGUGACCAAGAAAAGAUGUCAGAGAGGGGAAUCCAAUACAGAUGUCAUGAUCAAGAAUAUAUACUGUUAUCAAUGAUAUGAUCAAGAAUUUGUAAACUUGUAACGAUUUAAAACAUCUUAUCUGUAAAUCACUCUUCAUUACUUAAUUGUUCACACAUUAUCAUCUACACUUAUGCUAUAAAUCUUAUCUGUAUAUUAAUCGCCCCCUCUUAUCUAACCCCCUGCUGAUCGUAAUGACCUGUGUAUUGACUCCUGAUCUUAAGGAUCUUGUAAUGUGCUCCUGAACGUCAGGAACGGAUCUUGAGUAUAUAUAUAGUGUGACAGAACUUUAGAAUAAGAUAGGAAGAUGGAAAUAUAGAAGACUAAGUAGAUAGAACUGUUAGAGAUAGAUAAAGUUACUCACUUACUUGGACUAUUACCUAAUAUUUCUUGGAUUUAUAUGUACAUGUGAUUGUUUUACUUGGAUUUUAUUUUUUGUGAAUUAUUUUUCCUGAAUGUUUCUAUUUGUGAUGUGCUGUGUAAGUGAACUGUAGACUAGAAUUUCAGCAUCUAUUUUCAAG